CGGUGUUUAACUGGCGUGAUGUGGGACGUCCUACCGGUGGGCUUAGCCUCGCGAGGGGCGGCCCAACUAAUAUCCCGUCGCGGUGCUCUUUACUGAGUGUCGAGUCGGGCCGGUACGUUUACUUUGAACAAAUUAGAGUGCUUAAAGCAGGCUAUCCUCGCCUGAAUACUGCGUGCAUGGAAUAAUGGAAUAGGACCUCGGUUCUAUUUUGUUGGUUUUCGGAACCCCGAGGUAAUGAUUAAUAGGGACAGAUGGGGGCAUUCGUAUUGCGACGUUAGAGGUGAAAUUCUUGGAUCGUCGCAAGACGGGCAGAAGCGAAAGCAUUUGCCAAAAAUGUUUUCAUUAAUCAAGAACGAAAGUUAGAGGUUCGAAGGCGAUCAGAUACCGCCCUAGUUCUAACCAUAAACGAUGCCAGCUAGCGAUCCGCCGAAGUUCCUCCGAUGACUCGGCGGGCAGCUUCCGGGAAACCAAAGCUUUUGGGUUCCGGGGGAAGUAUGGUUGCAAAGCUGAAACUUAAAGGAAUUGACGGAAGGGCACCACCAGGAGUGGAGCCUGCGGCUUAAUUUGACUCAACACGGGAAACCUCACCAGGCCCAGACACCGGAAGGAUUGACAGAUUGAUAGCUCUUUCUUGAUUCGGUGGGUGGUGGUGCAUGGCCGUUCUUAGUUGGUGGAGCGAUUUGUCUGGUUAAUUCCGAUAACGAACGAGACUCUAGCCUGCUAAAUAGGCGUACCUUAUGGUAUCGCGAAGGCCCCCGGCUUCGGCCGGUGGGUUUUUACUACCAACGUACAAACAAAUCUUCUUAGAGGGACAGGCGG
rnacentral:rRNA from 1 species